AUGUCACACCCCUGGGUAGGCCUAGCUCCUUACCAGCCUCUGCAGCUUUCUGUCACCUUCUCUUCUCUUAGUUCACAGUGCUCUGAGAACCUAGUGUCUCCUUCUGUUCCUAGAACGCAGCUCCUCUCUGCCUUUGCACACAGUGUUACCCAUUCCCAGAAUGCUCGUGCACCAACCUGGCCAACCCUGUCCUCAAUCCCAAGCCUCAGCUGAAAUGUUAUUGUCCCCACCUUCCCUGACCACCCACAGCUUGAACGGCUCCCCGCCAUUAUGCUCUCUCUGUACUCCUUGCCCCCUUCUCACCUGGCACCACCAUAAUCUGUAACAAUGUCAGGGUCUGUGGGAAUAAUUCCUAAAGGUACAUGUUACCCUCUAGGCUAUGAACUUCCAAGGGCAGGGACUUAGCCUGUUUUGUGCCACUGUAGCGCCGUUGAGAACACAGGCCCUGAUCUAGAAGGGUGGAGGGUGCUCCUCUACCUUCGUCUACCUCCCAUACUGUUGCCAGACACAGAAAAGUCCCUGUUUCAAAUCCUUUAAUGAGGAGAGGAUGUCAGCAAAAUGGUGGAAUAGGGGGCCCUAGGCCCUUGUUACACCACAGAAAUAUUAAAAAAAAAUUUGGAUCUGGUUAAAAUGUUUUAUUAGAGUCCUGAAAAACAGUCAAAGAUCUAUAGAUCUAUAAGCAAAUGCCCAAUCAAGAAGUCACAUUCAGGGACGCCUAGGUGGCUCAGGUCAUGAUCCCAGGAUCCAGGGAUCAAGUCCUAUAUCGGGCUCCUCACUCAGCAAGCAGUCUGCUUCUCCCUCUGCUGCUGCUCCCCCUGCUUGUGCACACACUCUCUCUCUGGCAGAUAAAGAAAUAAAAUCUUUAAAAAAAUAAACUUAAAAAAAAAAAGGAAAUCACAUUCAGAAUGGUCGGAAGUUUUAUGGGGUUUACUCACCCUUGUCCCACCCCUCCCUGCAUAGCACGGUCUAAAGGAAGCAGCAGCCCAGUGCCUAUCUCCUUCCCUCAAACUGGAGAGAGCAGAGCAAC
rnacentral:lncRNA from 1 species